GCCUGGGUGGCUCAGUCGGUUAAGCGUCCGACUUCAGCUCAGGUCAUGAUCUCGCGGUCUGUGGGUUCAAGCCCCGCGUCGGGCU
rnacentral:tRNA from 1 species